UCCAGCGCUUGAGGAGCGGGUGACGUCAGGCGCGCCGCUGCGGCUCAGUGGCUCGCGGCAGGUGCGGUGCUGUUGGCGUAGUCGGGUCCUGUCUUCUUCAACAAGACCGGGUCAGCACCCGGCCGCGGCGUGGAGCAGAGAGGUUCCUGAUGAAUCCAGAGAACCCUCCACCAUAUCCGGGCCCUGGCCCAACGGCCCCAUACCCACCUUAUCCACAACAGCCGAUGGGGCCUAUGGGAGCCCCACCUCCUCAGGGGUACCCCUACCCACCUCCUCAGGGAUACCCCUAUCAAGGAUAUCCGCAGUACGGCUGGCAGGGUGGACCUCAGGAGCCUCCUAAGACCACAGUGUAUGUGGUGGAAGACCAAAGAAGAGAUGACCUGGGCCCAUCCACCUGCCUCACAGCCUGCUGGACAGCUCUCUGUUGCUGCUGCCUCUGGGACAUGCUCACCUGAUGAGCCCAGCUCUCCUGCUGGGCCGUCUGUGGCACCUCUGACAGGUGUGCCUGCUCCCAUCUCUUCUGAUUGCUGUAAUACGUGGCUAGCUCUGCGCGGACACCGCUACCUUGAAUCCUAUGGAGUUUUAGAUUAGCAAGGGUUACUGCUAUUUAAUUCAGUGACUUGAUCUUUUUAAUGUUCAAAAGUCAUUUCUUACUGAUCCUUAACAAAUGUGCUAAAUAAUGUUACUUUUUGGCCAAAGGCUUAGUUAUGAAAUAUAUAUUUAUAAUGUUUAAAUUAUACACUCCAAGGUAAUGGCAAUAUGUGACACACCACUAGAUCUCUGCUCACAUCCUGUAUGUUUCAAUAAAUCCGUCC